rnacentral:rRNA from 1 species
GAUGAACGCUGGCGGCGUGCCUAAUACAUGCAAGUCGAGCGAACAGAUGAGGAGCUUGCUCCUCUGACGUUAGCGGCGGACGGGUGAGUAACACGUGGAUAACCUACCUAUAAGACUGGGAUAACUUCGGGAAACCGGAGCUAAUACCGGAUAAUAUAUUGAACCGCAUGGUUCAAUAGUGAAAGACGGUUUUGCUGUCACUUAUAGAUGGAUCCGCGCCGCAUUAGCUAGUUGGUAAGGUAACGGCUUACCAAGGCAACGAUGCGUAGCCGACCUGAGAGGGUGAUCGGCCACACUGGAACUGAGACACGGUCCAGACUCCUACGGAAGGCAGCAGUAGGGAAUCUUCCGCAAUGGGCGAAAGCCUGACGGAGCAACGCCGCGUGAGUGAUGAAGGUCCUCGGAUCGUAAAACUCUGUUAUUAGGGAAGAACAAAUGUGUAAGUAACUAUGCACGUCUUGACGGUACCUAAUCAGAAAGCCACGGCUAACUACGUG